UUAUGGCCACAUCAAGUUGAAAAUGCCAGUUCUUGUAUGAUCACUAAAGUUAAGCAAUAUCAAGCCUGGUCACUACCUAGAUGGGUGACCACUUGGGAAUAUCAAAUGCUGUAA